CUCUUCGGGGAUGAUUAAACCGGCGCACGGGUGAGUAACACGUGAGUGACCUGCCUUUUAGACUGGAACAACUUACCGAAAGGUGAGCUAAUGCCGGAUGAGUUAUAUAAGUGCAUGUUUAUAUAGGAAAAGUUGGGGAGACCUGACGCUGAAAGAUGGACUCGCGUCCCAUUAGCUAGUUGGUAGGGUAAUGGCCUACCAAGGCGACGAUGGGUAGCCGGCCUGAGAGGGUGGCCGGCCACACUGGGACUGAGACACGGCCCAGACUCCUACGGGAGGCAGCAGUGGGGAAUUUUGCGCAAUGCUCGUAAGAGUGACGCAGCGACGCCGCGUGAAUGACGAAGGCCUUCGGGUCGUAAAGUUCUUUCGACAGGGAAGAAAAUGCCUAUAAGUAACUGUGUAUGUAUUGACGGUACCUGUAUAAGCAGCCCCGGCUAACUCCGUGCCAGCAGCCGCGGUAAUACGGAGGGGGCGAGCGUUGUUCGGAGUGACUGGGCGUAAAGAGCACGUAGGCGGUGUUGUAAGUCAUUAGUCAAAGACUAGAGCUCAACUUUAGUAAGGCUAGUGAUACUAUAAUACUAGAGUAUCAGAGAGGAUUGCAGAAUUCCUGGUGUAGCGGUGAAAUGCGUAGAUAUCAGGAGGAAUACCGUUAGCGAAGGCGGCAAUCUGGCUGGAAACUGACGCUGAGGUGCGAAAGCGUGGGUAGCAAACAGGAUUAGAUACCCUGGUAGUCCACGCUGUAAACGAUGGAUG
rnacentral:rRNA from 1 species